rnacentral:rRNA from 1 species
GACUUGGACUGGCCGCCAGGGUCCGGAAGAGGAGCGAGUUCACUCGAUCAUCUACGUUACGUGGGUGGUGGGGAGCGACGAGCUCUGGGUUACUGUGAGGAAAUUAGAGUGUUUAAAGCAGGCAGGAAAGCUUGAAUAGACGAGCAUGGAAUAACAAGAUAGGACAUUGAGAGCCUCUUGUUGGUGAAGGGGGACGGAUGUAAUGAUUAAUAGGGUCAGUUGGGGGCAUUAGUAUUCAGUAGUCAGAGGUGAAAUUCUUGGAUUUACUGAAGACUAACUAGUGCGAAAGCAUUUGCCAAGGAUGUUUUCAUUAAUCAAGAACGAAAGUUAGGGGAUCGAAGACGAUCAGAUACCGUCGUAGUCUUAACUAUAAACGAUGCCGACUAAGGAUCGGCAGGGGUCGGUUAGCGACACUGUCGGGACUUUGUGAGAAAUCAAAGUUUAUGGGUUCUGGGGGGAGUAUGGUCGCAAGGCUGAAACUUAAAGGAAUUGACGGAAGGGCACCACCAGGAGUGGAGCCUGCGGCUUAAUUUGACUCAACACGGGAAAACUCACCAGGUCCGGACAUGGUAAGGAUUGACAGAUUGAGAGCUCUUUCUUGAUUCUGUGGGUGGUGGUGCAUGGCCGUUCUUAGUUGGUGGAGUGAUUUGUCUGGUUAAUUCCGAUAACGAACGAGACCUUGACCUGCUAACUAGAUGCUAGUACGAGAGUAUUGGUAGACUUCUUAGAGGGACUGACUA